rnacentral:rRNA from 1 species
GACAGAGGGGGCAAGCGUUGCUCGGAAUCACUGGGCGUAAAGGGCGCGUAGGCGGGAUGGCAAGUCGGUCGUGAAAUCCUUCGGCUCAACCGAAGAACGUCGGCCGAUACUGCCGUUCUUGAGGGAUGCAGAGGAGAUUGGAAUUCCCGGUGUAGCGGUGAAAUGCGUAGAUAUCUGAAGGAACAUCAGUGGCGAAAGCGACUUCCUGGACCAGAACUGACGAUCAGGCACGAAAGCGUGGGGAGCAAACAGG